GUGAGGAAUAUUGGUCAAUGGGCGGGAGCCUGAACCAGCCAAGUCGCGUGAGGGAAGACGGUCCUAUGGAUUGUAAACCUCUUUUGUCGGGGAGCAAAGAGGCCACGUGUGGUCAAAAGCGAGAGUACCCGAAGAAAAAGCAUCGGCUAACUCCGUGCC
rnacentral:rRNA from 1 species